ACGGAAGGCAGCAGUGGGGGAUAUUGCACAAUGGGGGAAACCCUGAUGCAGCGACGCCGCGUGAGUGAAGAAGUAUUUCGGUAUGUAAAGCUCUAUCAGCAGGGAAGAAAAUGACAGUACCUGACUAAGAAGCCCCGGCUAACUACGUGCCAGCAGCCGCGGUAAUACGUAGGGGGCAAGCGUUAUCCGGAUUUACUGGGUGUAAAGGGUGCGUAGGUGGCAAAGUAAGUCAGAGGUGAAAACCCAGGGCUCAACCUUGGGAUUGCCUUUGAAACUAUUUAGCUUGAGUGCUGGAGAGGUAAGCGGAAUUCCUAGUGUAGCGGUGAAAUGCGUAGAUAUUAGGAGGAACACCAGUGGCGAAGGCGGCUUACUGGACUGUAACUGACGUUGAGGCUCGAAGGCGUGGGGAGCAAACAGGAUUAGAUACCCUGGUA
rnacentral:rRNA from 1 species